rnacentral:lncRNA from 1 species
CAUCGAGCUCAUACACUCUGAUGACCCGUUGUCGUCAGAGGAUAAGGAUCUGAUCAGGGCUCAUCGUGAUGAACUUCAAGAACACGUCACUGCGGAGGCCCGUCGGGUCUUGGACUUUUUGGAGAGCAACGGCCGCCGGCGACCUCCAGCCGACAGGAGUCAUCCGCUUCCUCCGCGAGUUGUCCUUGAAGACGCGGCGGCAGGAACUUCGUGCCCGGCCAUGGAUCGAAGCCACCUUCUCCCCCGUCACGUCGAAGCGGAGGCUUCAAUGAAAGAAAUAGAAGAAGAGUACCUCCGUCUUAUGAUAGAGUUGGGUCGGACAGAGAGAGAACGUAAGAAAAAGGCUGGUGAGGCUUCGGAGGUGGACGAGGAGUACAUCCGUCGUAUGAUAGAAUUAGGCCGGGCUG